UACGUAGGGGGCAAGCGUUGUCCGGAUUUAUUGGGCGUAAAGAGCGUGUAGGCGGCCAAACAGGUCCGUUGUGAAAACUAGAGGCUUAACCUCUAGACGUCGAUGGAAACCGUUUGGCUAGAGUCCGGAAGAGGAGAAUGGAAUUCCUGGUGUAGCGGUGAAAUGCGCAGAUAUCAGGAAGAACACCCGUGGCUAAGGCGGUUCUCUAGUACGGUACUGACGCUGAGACGCGAAAGCGUGGGGAGCGAACAGG
rnacentral:rRNA from 1 species